rnacentral:rRNA from 1 species
UACGGGGGGAGCAAGCGUUGUCCGGAAUCAUUGGGCGUAAAGAGCGUGUAGGCGGCUUGCUAAGUCUUGCGUGAAAUCUCGGGGCUCAACCCCGAGCGGUCGUGGGAAACUGGCAGGCUAGAGUGCGGGAGAGGAGAAUGGAAUUCCUGGUGUAGCGGUGAAAUGCGCAGAUAUCAGGAGGAACACCGGUGGCGAAGGCGGGUCUCUGGGCCGAUACUGACGCUGAGGAGCGAAAGCGUGGGGAGCGAACAGG